rnacentral:lncRNA from 1 species
AUGGUGACCGCGGACCCGCUCAGCGACGCCCACAGUGAGGACCGAGCCCUGCCACAACUGACCGCCGGGCCGUCCGUCUGGCGGUUGCCCUGGAGACAGCGAGACGCCGGAAGACUGACGCAUGAGGCGGGACCAGGCUGGAAGGAGGGUUCCGAUUGGCAGAGCCGCCGCCCCGCCGGCUUUAAACAACCGGUAGGGCCGUGCGCAUUGACCCUGCUCCCAACCUCCGUCCGUGGUGCCCGGGGGUCUGCAGGCCUCGGUCAUCCGGAGGGGCGCCGGGUCUGCUCAGGCGGGGCGCUCCCGGCCUGGCUCCUGAGGCCAGAAGUCCGGGCUCGGAAGAAGAGCCUCGGGAGGAACCAGUUGGAUGUUGGAGGUCAUCCACUCCAAGGGAGAUCCCAGCUGGGAAAAAUCUGUGAUCAACUGGGAUCAAUCACCACAGAUAGAAAAUAA